rnacentral:rRNA from 1 species
GAGUUUGAUUAUGGCUCAGAUUGAACGCUGGCGGCAGGCUUAACACAUGCAAGUCGAACGGUAGCAGGGGAAAGCUUGCUUUCUUGCUGACGAGUGGCGGACGGGUGAGUAAUGCUUGGGAAUCUGGCUUAUGGAGGGGGAUAACUACGGGAAACUGUAGCUAAUACCGCGUAAUAUCUACGGAUUAAAGAAUGGGACAUUAGCCAUUCGCCAUAAGAUGAGCCCAAGUGGGAUUAGGUAGUUGGUGGGGUAAAGGCCUACCAAGCCGACGAUCUCUAGCUGGUCUGAGAGGAUGACCAGCCACACUGGAACUGAGACACGGUCCAGACUCCUACGGGAGGCAGCAGUGGGGAAUAUUGCGCAAUGGGGGCAAGCCCUGACGCAGCCAUGCCGCGUGAAUGAAGAAGGCCUUCGGNUUGNAAAGUUCUUUCGGUGGUGAGGAAGGCUUAAGUGCUAAUAGUACUUAAGAUGACGNGCCCAAAA